AAUAAAAUAAAAUAAAAUAAAAUAAAAUAAAAUAAAAUAAAAUAAAAUAAAAUAAAAUAAAAUAAAAUAAAAUAAAAUAAAUAUUGUAAAAGCCAUAUUAUUGUCAGAACCACAAAUAUUUUUGUAACUCCACAGCAUAUGCACUGAGCUGGGCUGUGUGUCUGUGCUCCAGUGGGGUAACUUUUUGAAGGUAAUACCAGCAUGGACAGGGUGUUUCUUUCUGGAACUGAUCACCUAUGAACAAUGGAUACAGAUAAAACACUGGAGAAAAUGUUCUGGCUUUCCCAGCCACUGAUCUGUGACCCACGGAGCUGCCUCAGGUAACACAAUGGUUUUGUUUAAAGUUUCAGGAAGAUGUUGCAGAUUUCCCAAGUCCCUCAGCUGUUUGCUGGGAAAGGUUUGAAGCUACACUGAUGAGCUGUGCAAUCUCCUGCCCAGCUUUUCAACUGUUCCUAUAGGUGGAAAAAACAUGAAGGUCUUUUCCAGAUGGGGACUGUGCCCAACAAAGGAUUUACCUGCUGAUGGACCCUUUGGUAGCACUGCAACAACCCAGCUAAUUACAAAUUAUUAUCUUGAGCCAAAGCCUUCAGGUCAAACUGGCCGAGACGCUUCAGGUGGAAGCUCAGAUCAUCUUUGAGGAAGAAGACAUGGAACCAGGACAAGCAGCUCUAAGUUCUUUAUUCAUAUCAAUCACCGACUCAAUGCCUUUGCUCUAUAAGCAAUUCACUGAUGGAUAUCCAGAGGUGGUGAAAAAACCCUGAGCACACACUUGUGAAAAAUCUGGUGACUGGCAAACUGGGGACUACCCUGAGCAUGAGGACCUAGUGGAAAAGAGAAGGGAAACAAAUACCCUAAUAACCAAUUUUAACGUGAAACUGCUCAUUUUUGGCAUCACAAAGGCUGAGUUUCCCCAGCUCCCCUGGUGAGACAGUCACUGAGGGCAGAUUGUGCCCCUCAGAACCAGGUCCCCACAAGACAGAAGCUGAGAUUUGCUCACAUGGAACAAACAUUUAACCAAAGAUGUGUAAACUGUCAUGAGAUACUGCAAAGCAGUCAAAGCAGUUGUCCUUUGGGCUGCUCAGAAAAUGUGUUUCUCUGGAUAAUUUGAAAUGUGGAUGUUUAGCUAUGAUUUGUGAGUCACUUGAGUCACUCUGGUUUCCUUUUUUUUUUUUUUUUUUUUUUUUUUUUUUUUUUUUUUUUUUUUUUUUUUAGAUAGUUCUGUAUUUUUAUUGCUACCAUUGCCCUUAUUUACAUUCUUCAUUUUUUAGAACAAAUCCAAGAGGUUUCCAAACAUCCACUGAGCAUUAACCUUAAAAAUUAAUUAUCUAGAUGUUUACAACAACAUUUACACACUGUGUUAGGAAAAGCAAUUUGCUUCCCCAAAGAGUACCUAUUUUUCAGUUAGCAAAGAAACUGUAGUAUGUCAGGAAUAACACAGGAGGAAGCAUCAGUCCAUCAUUUCAAAUCAAUUUCACAGUUGCAGGAAAGGUGAACAAAGUUUCCACAGGUGAAAAUGCCAGGAAAAUUUAUCCUUGUUCUUAGCCUGAACUCCAUUGUGUCAGACAGCAAUAUUUCAGGAGUUUUUUAAAAAACAUUUUUUUGAAAGACCAACACAAAUGUAAAUGUUCCAAUUUAUAGUGGCAAAAUUAGGUGUCAGAUCCAUUCUUGUUUUCAGUGAGUUUAAAUUUUUCUUUUGGGCACUGAAGACAGAGGAUAUUUUUCCUUCUGAAUUGUGGCUCCCCUCGCCUCGGUCCUGCGGGUUUGGGUUGCAGAGGAGAUGCAGGAGCCCAGCUCAGCUUUGCCCUCUCCAGUCCCAGCCUCCCCACACACCCCAGGAGAAAAAUCUCUCUGCCAUUUCAGCCUCCAGAAAUACAUCUGUGCUAAUUUACAACUGGAAAAAAAAAUAUGAGAGUUCACCUCUUUUAUACCCCCAAAUAAAUAAAUGAAACUGUUCAGACAAUAGAAUAGAAUCAGUAUUUUCAAAUGAGCUUUUUAAUGAAGCCUGAAUGGAUUUCCAGACCACAUGAGCAGAAAACUAAGUAAAAUCAUUGGGGAUUUCUGUUAAAAAGCUCCUAAAAAAAGAAGAAGAAAAAAGAAAAAAGAAAAAGAAGAAAAAGAAAAAAAAGAAAAAGAAAAAGAAAAAGAAAAAGAAAAAGAAAAAGAAAAAGAAAAAGAAAAAGAAAAAGAAAAAGAAAAAGAAAAAGAAAAAGAAAAAGAAAAAGAAAAAGAAAAAGAAAAAGAAAAAGAAAAAGAAAAAGAAAAAGAAAAAGAAAAAGAAAAAGAAAAAGAAACUGAUCUUAGGGUAGAAAAGGCAUUUUGCAUACAAGGAACUGGCAAAGCAAGGGGCAGCAGAGAAGAAAGCGUUGAGAGCUGAAGAUAGAAAGGUGCCAUUAGGAAGAUGGCUUUGGAGCAGAUUGCAUAGAAAUAAGAUGAAAUUUUUCUUAAAACCAAAAAAGCAAACAAACCAGCUCCCCCAGCCCUCUGAUCAGCAAAGAAAUCAGAACUGUCAGCUUUCAUCUGCAUUGUACAAUAAAGCUAAACUCAAAAGAAUAGUUAAGUUUUGUUUCAAGCCACACAAAGCUAAUUUUUGCUGGCCAUGGCUUUCCCUAACUAGGUGUUUUGGACUCUGAGGAACAUGAGAUUUUCUAGGUUGGAGAGUGUUUUAAUAUUGCUACCGUGUCAACUUUGAAUUAUGCAGGGAUUUUUAAAUAUGGAACUGUUCCUCUACUUAUGAUGACAGGCACAUUCACAUCAUAUAAAAUUGGGAAUGAGGAAAGCUAAACAAAGCCAGGGAGUUCUGAAUUGAUCACCUAAAACAUCUGCUGUAUUGCUUAGGAAUUGCAGCACAUAUGGUAUAUCAGAGCAUCCAAUAUUUGGAGGCACACUACCUAUGCAGAACAUCCAUAAAAUGCCAGAAACGCCCAUUUUGGCCAUUUCAAUCUUCACUCUGAAUGUUCUUUUUUUAAAAUAAAAUGCCUAAAAUUAUUUCUGGGUUUAUUUUUCUGUUUUAUCAUGUAAUUUGAUUGCAGUCAGCUUAUCUGCUGCCCUAAGUCUCCCCUGUGUUUCUGUACAUUGGGAAUGUUAAUAGUGUUCAAAAAACAACAAGAACAUAAUGAAAAGAGAAAAAGAAGUGAUCCUCUAAAUGUGAUCUUUCCUAUCUACUCCUUGCACUUAUUCUGAAUCUCACCUCCAUUAGGGUACAAUAAUCCCACAGCAACCCUAGCACAGUAUUGAUUAACAACAAAUCAGAAAUAUGCAUUUAAAAUGGGAUUUUGCUCUGAUCUAACAAUCCUGUUAUAUCACGCUCCAGAUCUUGCCAAGAGGAAGGAUGUGAUAUUUUUUAACAACUGACCUCAGAGUGAAUUAGGCACCCAAAUAAUUUUUAGCAGUAAUGUGUUUUUGAGAAUGACUCUAAGCAUCAAAAUCUCUGUAAAACAGGUCAGAUUGGAGCCUCUGAUUUUGCAUCAAAAAAAAAUAGCAAGGCAAAACAUAUCAAAUCAUCAAAUAAAAGUAUUUUUUUAAAAUACUACUGGCCAAUUAUUCACUUUCCUUUGCAAGUUUGGCUUUGAUUUGAGGGAGAUAAGAAAGGCUGGACUGUCAUAUCCACUCAGACUACAUCCCAAAGGAAGAGAGAGCUGCUGUGCAAAACAGAAAAAAUACCAAAUGGGGCAUUGGAGCCACAGAGCCAGAGGAACCAUAACACUGAAAAUAAAUUCUUCAAAUGGGAACUAGUCUAGGGAACAGUACAGGUUCAGAAAAGAUGGCAGAGAUCAGCUAGAAUACUUGCAAUUUCUCAUGCCAGUUUCCUUUAACCAGUUCAAUCUCAGAAAGAGGUAAGGGUGAACCAUGAAUCAAUGCUCACUGAGUCUCUCUGGUAAACUUAUUAUUUGUUGUUGCAGUCUCUUGCAGAACCCAAGACAAAGGCUUUCCCUCUGCAGAUAAACACUAAUAAAAGUGCCUGUAUUUUCUCCUUCUGCUUUGAACCUAAUACAUGGGUAAAAAAGAGGAGCAAGCUGCAUAAUUCUUAAAACCCCUCCCAAAUUUAUUUGAUUACAUUCUACAAGUGAUUACAAAUAAACCCAGAACUAAUUCACCCUCUAUAUCUUCAGGCAAACCAGAGAGAUCCUACUCACCUGUCUCAAACAUUCAGAAUUUCAGAAUAUUUCAGAAUAACAAUAUUAUUCUGGGGUGGCAAAGAGGUGAUAUAGGUGCCAGUUUAGACAAUUCCAGCUCACAUAAACAGAAGGCAACGUGGAACCCAAAUUGGAACACACAAAACCAUGUACCAUUUAAAACAAGUUCCGUGCCUAGCAAGCAUUGUCCAGUUUAGCAGGAUUAUUAUUUCUAACACCAGAAUGCUAAAAUAUGGUAUUUAAUGAAGCUGCAUUGCGUACUUAAUGAUAGCCAGCUGAAUAAUUCUGAAAACUAAAAGCUUAUUUUCUCUCUUUGUACCGAGAUCAUUGAAACCCAAGAGGGUAAAACUCACAGCUCACAUUAUCUGUGCCAUAAACUUACUCUAAACCUAAAAGGCCUCAAAUUUUGUAAGAAAAACAAAAUUCGGAGCUUUUUAAAAGAGCAGAUCCCAAAAGCAAAACUACUGCUGAAGCAGAUAGAAUUCUGUGAGGGCUCCCUCUUUUGGCAACAAAAUAAAAGCUUUGCAGCUCAUCAUGAAGAGAUUUUCACAAGGGGUUCUUUGCUUUCAGGAGCACAAACCUCUCAUCACACAUGGCCUGCCUGACUUCUAGGGAAGACCUCAGCUGCCCAAAAGUCUUCACUUAGCAAUACAAAAAACGCUGCUGCUCUUGAAUUUUGGAGUUACUUAUGCAGUCCCUUGAUUCUGAAGAGUGCUUGGAGCGAGAGGAACCACUCAAAAUUCCACAUUUUCCUGGGAGCAAAAUCUUGCUGGGAGCUAAGAGUUACAGGACUGGCCAGGAGCAGGCAGAAACAAAAGCAGUUUGGCAUUGGCUGGGAUAAAAAUCACAGGAUUAGUCAAGAAAAUAGGUCACAGAGGACAGGCCAAAGAACAAGUGUGAAAAAUGGCUUUUUCUGAUUAGUCCCUUCCUGGGAAGUGUGCCAGAAAGUACAGAAGGUCCCCAAGAAAUUUCCUCAGGCCAAGUUUCACUGUGCAGCUUUUCCAGGGAAGCUGUCAAAUGAAAAAACAUCUAGAAAAUUUUAUAUCACUAUUGGGAUUGCUGGUAUAGAAUUUUUUUACCUGGACACAAGAUUUCUAAGAGCUGCUGGUGGCUUGGGAAGGGGCCCUGCCCUGGCAAGGAGCUGCACCUGAAUUUGCAAUUACCUGGGGGCUGGGAUGUCCAAGGAAGGAAAAUCUGUUCAUCUGAGUUGUUCCCACAUUUCUCAGUAAAAUGGAGUUUGGGGUCAGUAUGUACAACCUACAGCAAUUUGAGGCAAGUUCUUUAGUAUUCUACUAAAACCCCAGACCUAUUCAUAAUAAUUUAGCCUUAUAGACAUAUAUAUUUAUAUUUAAUAAAAGAUAGGAAAGGUUUUGGAUAACUUUUUCCUUUUGCUUCUCUGUAUUUUACAUCACCUAAUAUUCUGAAACCCCAUUUUUUUUAGAGUGGGAACUUUUUAGCAACUUUUGGUAAGGGUUAUUGAAAUGUAAAAGUUCAUUAUGUUAUAAUUGUCUCAUCUGGGCUUCAAAGGCUUUUGUGUAACUGAGGGGAAUUGGGGAAUUUGUGUUACUUUGAGGGGAUGCUGGUUAUGUGAACUCAGAGCGAGCUCCUUAUAAACAUGACAGAUAUUAUGGGGUCUCUCAAUUUAAAUACCCUGUCUGCAAAAGGCAGAUUAUUCUGGAUUUAUACACAUAAAGAGAAUAUCAUGCUAACUUUUUAUUAAAAAUUAAAAUCUUUCGAGUCACAACAGAGAUCAAUAUACCACAAUUGGAGUGAAGUAGAAUGAUGAUCCUGUGGUUAAGUAAUUGAAAAGGGAAUUGAGUAAUCUGUCAUUCUCCCUGCUCUGGGCAACUUAGCUCUGGAUGUCUUAAGCACUGCAUUGUAGGCUCCUAAAAGGGUUAGAUAUCGUGUUUCCAAAAGCAAUUUCAGCAAGCAAGGCAGCAUUUUCGGUACAUUCCUAAAUAAAGAUGGUAUUUUUUUUCAUUUUGCACACCCUGGAGUUGUGGCCUUUUUUAACAUCCUGGACUAAGAAGGUUCAAGGAGCUCGACAAGGUGGCCAGUAAGGAUGGAAGGAUGGCCACAUGAUCUGAGACAAUCAAGAAUUGCCCAUCUCUGACCUGGCAGGUGGGAAUGACCAUGGCUGUGAAAUGUGAGGCUGGGCAGGAGGUGCUGGGAGCUCUGAAAUGUGCAGAGCAGGUCUGAGCCCAGCCCUCUGCCUCAGAGCAGAGCUGGACCUGCCUGCAGAUGGCUUUGAACAGCACCCUGAGAAGUCUGACACCUCAAAUCACUUCUGAAAAUGAGACUAAACCACCUAAAGUACUUAUGCAUUACUCUACACAAUGCUGUGGAGGUCAAGUUCUAAAUUCAAGAGCUCUUCAGAAAACCAACCUGCUCAGCUCAGCAGAAAGGCUGCUGCAUUUCCUUUCUCUUGUUCUUCCCCCUUUUACCAGCAGAAGUUUCUCCUGUCUGGGAGAACAUCAUGCAGUGUUGAGGUGUUCCACUGGGUUUUUUGUGCAGGUUGUCCUUUGCUGUGUGUUCACACACAAUUACAAACACCACUGCCUGGUUAUCCUGUGGGAUGAACCCGAGGGAGGUGGGCAGAGAUGGAGAACCACGAGGAUUUAAAGAAUAAAGGCAACACAAAUGCAAAAAGACAGGCAAAUGAUGAUGUAAUUCUGUAUGAAAAUACAUCUGUACAAACAGUAUAGGCAAAAUCUGUCCUGGUUUCAGUAUGGAUCUGAAUAACCUCCAGAAUCUGGAGUGAUGCUUCUUUCCAUCACAUUCCAUCAGUGCUUUCCUUGCACCCAACUGCAGCAGCUCAGGAGGGGAAGUGUUUGCCUUCAUUUUGAAUUUUUCUGCCUUUUGUCACAACCUUAAUUUCACUGAUUUGCUGAGUUUUGUAUCUUUAUAAAAUGCACCAUUCAAGCUUCCAGCAGACAUGCAGAUUAGCCUUGUCCUAAAGCACCUCUUCUCUAUUUAUCCCAGGAUAAUUAGUCACGUAAAUUAGAAGUCAUUACCAAAGGCUACAAAAAAAAAAAAAAAAAAAACCCUUUAGCAAAGGCUUGUUGACAGGCUAAACAUGUUUAAAAUACUUUUAGGUCUGAGGGUGGGAAGAGAGGGGUAUGGACGUGGGGGAGGUGGGGGGAAGAGAAAUAUCAUCAGAGGAAGGAAAUUCUGGCAGAGAAAAUGGGGCUGUGUUAAUCUGUAUUCAUUCCUAAAGAAAGACUUAAACCAUUGUGUGCUGCCACGGUGAUAUAUAACUGGGGACAUUUAAAAUGCCAAGCCAUAAAAGUGUAUUUUCUUCAUUACAUUUUCGUUGAAUGCUUUGAUCUUCCCAUUUUACGCUGUAAGUUUGAUUCAUCAUUACUUUCCAGUAAGAAACUGCCACAUUUGAUUGUGGGAAGAAGAAUUCUUAUCUAAUUGCAAUUUGUAAGCACAGGAUUUAGUGUAUUGUUGCCUGAAAAAUGGAAGUGUCUAAAUUAUUUUCCCUGAAACUAACAUCCUCAACAAAUAAAAGCAACAUAUGAUAGCUGGGCAUAAUUAAGGAAAAAUGACACCUACUGUUACAUGAAUAAAGAAAAUAUGUUGAUGACAAGAAAAGAAAAAAAAAAGUGAUUUCCCUGCAGUUUUGGUAAAACACAAAAGCAUCACAUUUUAGUUCUUUUAACACAUUUGUUCAAUGAAUUGGAAAAAAAGCAAUCCCACCCUCCAAAGCAGCCAGUAAUGUACAGUUAUUUCCCUGCAGUGGUAGCAGUGCACGUCAGACAUUUUGGAUUUGCUGUGCAGGCACAGCAGCCCUGUCGGAGU